rnacentral:misc_RNA from 1 species
AGCAGCCGCGGUAAUUCCAGCUCCAAUAGCGUAUAUUAAAGUUGCUGCAGUUAAAAGCUCGUAGUUGAAUUUCGGGACUAAUAUGUCGGUCGUGCCUCGGUACGUACUGGUUUAUUGGUUUCUCCUUUCUGAAGAACCAUGAUGUCAUUUAUUUGGUGUCGUGGGGAAUCAGGACUGUUACUUUGAAAAAUUAGAGUGUUUAAAGCAGGCUCACGCUUGAAUACAUUAGCAUGGAAUAAUGAAAUAGGACGUUUGAUUCUAUUUUGUUGGUUUCUAGGAUCGACGUAAUGAUUAAUAGGGAUAGUUGGGGGCAUUAGUAUUCAAUUGUCAGAGGUGAAAUUCUUGGAUUUAUUGAAGACUAACUACUGCGAAAGCAUUUGCCAAGGAUGUUUUCAUUAAUCAAGAACGAAAGUUAGGGAUCGAAGACGAUCAGAUACCGUCGUAGUCUUAACCAUAAACUAUGCCGACUAGGGAUCGGAUGAUGUUAAUUUUUUAAUGACUCAUUCGGCGCCUUACGGGA